UCUCUUGUAGCUCAGUGGUAGAGCGUCUGACUGGUUUGCGGAAGGUCACAGGUUUGACUCCUGUUGGGGGAA
rnacentral:tRNA from 1 species